AGGAUGAACGCUGGCGGCGUGCCUAACACAUGCAAGUCGAACGUCCUGUCUCGCAAGAGGCAGGGAGUGGCGGACGGGUGAGUACCACGUGGGUUAUCUACCGUGAGGUGAGGAAUACCGGCGAGAAAUCGCCGACAAGACCGCAUAGCCUCGGUGCAAGUCGAGGAAAGCUCUCUCGAGAGAGGGAGCGCCACACGAGGAGCCUGCGCCCGAUUAGCUAGCUGGUGGAGUAAUGGUUCACCAGGGCGACGAUCGGUAGCUGGUCUGAGAGGACGAUCAGCCACACUGGGAUUGAGAACGGCCCAGACUCCUACGGGGGGCAGCAGUGAGGAAUUUUCGUCAAUGGGGGCAACCCUGAACGAGCAACGCCGCGUGCAGGAAGAAGGUUUUCGGAUCGUAAACUGCUUUUCGUCGGGGAAGAGAACGGACGGUACCCGAGGAAUCAGCCCCGGCUAACUACGUGCCAGAGCCGCGGUAA
rnacentral:rRNA from 1 species